UAUCUGCAAUGAUCGUUCGGCCAGAAUAUACAAGUUAACAAUGUGCAAUACCUUUUUUUCCUUGUCUCAUCACAUAUGAAAAUAAGCUUCAGAAAUACCUUUCAGGCUGUUGAUCACAUUACGCUCCUGCAUGAAGAUCUUUUAUUUCUUCUUGUAUCUCUCUUUUUUUAUAAACUCAAUUCCAGCGGGCUGCAUAAUUUCAAUGCUUAAAUUUCAAUAAUAUUAACUUCACUUAACAUAAAUUUCUAAUAUGAUCUGUGAGAGUGGCUGCAUUGCAUUCGGUAUAUACCAUAAUCCUAAUAAAUAGAUUAGAAAUGUUCUUAGCAUAAGUCUAUUUUGUAAAUUACUUUAUGUGAAAUAAAUUAUAUCAAACUAUAAUUUUAUAUAUACACACACAUACACACACUCAUACACACACACAUACAUUUCACAUAAUGGGAAGCAUAUUAAGAUUAAAAAAAAAAUUAGAUUAAUAUUUUGUAAUCAAUAUAUACAUAUAUGCAUAUAAGGUAUAUAUAUGUAUAUAUAUUAUAUACUAUUAUUUUUAUUUUUCAACAGUUAAGAAUCCCUUGCAAGGAGGAAAAAUAUUUUUUACUUACUAUUAAUUGCAAGUGUAUUAAUUUAAUUUUAAAUAUCAAGGCCUCGUGCAUACUGCAGCAGUGAUUAAAGUUUAGAACGAUAUGCUAAAUAAAUUAGCAAAAUUGUUCAUGUUUGUAUUAUUCCUUAUCCUAAAAUUAACUAAUGAAAUCAUCUCGCUGCUCCAGUAUGUAUGCCAUAUAUGAGUUAAUUAAAUGAUUUGAAAGAAAUAAUAAAUUUUAAAUGGAAAUUCAAUUAUUAUGUCUUUUGAAUAUCUAGAUAUAUCAAUAUCA